GACACAGGUGAUAUCGUAGAGAAAAAAAAAACACCUAAGAAGUCCUGGUCUUAAGUGCGCUUUCUAAUUCCCACAACCCGUCCUUUAGGGCCCCAUAACUUACUCUAACUAUGUCAUUGGUACCCAUAUGACCAUGACGUAUGGGAAAUCCCCAGCCCCUCCCAAUAAUGUAUCUACUUGGUCAGCAACAUGCCGGACCGAUCAAGCUGUCU